UACGGGGGGGGCAAGCGUUGUUCGGAAUCACUGGGCGUAAAGCGCACGUAGGCGGCUUUUUAAGUCAGGGGUGAAAUCCUGGAGCUCAACUCCAGAACUGCCUUUGAUACUGGGAAGCUCGAGUCCGGGAGAGGUGAGUGGAACUCCGAGUGUAGAGGUGAAAUUCGUAGAUAUUCGGAAGAACCCCAGUGGCGAAGGCGGCUCACUGGCCCGGUACUGACGCUGAGGUGCGAAAGCGUGGGGAGCAAACAGG
rnacentral:rRNA from 1 species